rnacentral:lncRNA from 1 species
UUUCUGGGGAGUUGGGUUUUUUUUUUCUUUGUAUGUCUCUACAUUCCCAAUUUUUUUCUUCAAUGUGGGUGUUUUGAAUUUUUAUCCAGAAGAAACAAAUUUAUCUGAGGUUUGAAGAAGGAAAUGUGAUACUCAUGGGAUUGGAGGAGUACAGGUGUGGUGUUUACUUAGAGAAUGCCUAGCUGGAAGUAUAGGAAGUCAUGUGUUGGUCACAUUCUGGGGACACGGGACACACUUGGAACUCCUACACAGGAGAACAACAGAGAUGAUGCAGGGUUUCUCCGUGUCUGUAUUAAAAAGUAGUUAGACUCUGCCUCUGUGGUAAGAAUAUUGGGAAACGACCUCAAGGGAACUGGGGGGACAUUUAGUCCUAAGGAAAAAGAUAGAAGUGUCAUAGACAAAUUCUCCCACAGCUCAUAAAGUACAGAAGUAUCUGAACAGCCUCAGCACAGUGUACACAAACACACAGUAUUAAACUAUAAAAACGUGCUCUACAUGCCUAGGUAUAGCACGGUGACUCUAGCCUCAUAACUUUGAUAUAUCCUCAAUGUGGAAACUGACAGAUAUCAUUAUGUCUUAAAGUAUUAGAUGGACAUCCUUUACUUAGGUUUAACAAACAACAGUUUUUUUGUUUUUUUUUUUUUUUUCUGGUGCUAAAGCCCUGGUGAUAUUCCACAGACAUUUGGACAUAUGAGAAGCUUAGAGGUUUCAGGUUUUUGCAAUGUGUUUGAAACUUGCGCUUUUCAUUUUGAGUUUUUCUUUUUAUAAUAAUUUUACUUUUUAAAUUAUAAUAUAAUUACAUUGUCUCCCCUUCAGUUUUCUUCCUUCAACCCCCACCAUGUACCGUCACGACCAUAGGAUGGCCAUCACCUCACUUUCUCUUAAAUUUUUGGCGUCUUAUUCUUUAACUGUUUAUAUAUAUAUAUAAAACAUAUAUUUAUAUAUAUUAAAUAUGUUAUAUAUGUAUAUUUACACAUAUAAAAUAUAUGUAUACACAUGUGCUUAACAUGUAUAUACAUAUAGGUAGAUGUAUACAUAUAUACACGUAUAUAUAUAUAUGUAUAUAUAUAUAUAUAUGUGUGUGUGUGUUUACAUAUAUGUAUUUAAAAACAGUUAAAGAAAAAGAGACCAAAAAUUUGAGGGAAAGUGAGGAAGUGAUCAUCAUCAUAUAUAUGUAUAUAUGUGUGACAUAUAUAUGCUUAAAUCUAUAUCUACAUAUAUAGAUAGAUAGAUAUAGAUUUAAGCAGUGGACAAGCAUGCUGUAUGCUUAGGAAAGAAAAAUCCGAAGCCAUCCUACUGUGUUUCCAUGGUUAUGAAGUUGAAACUUUGCCAUAUGAAUUCAGAUUAAUGGAUAUUUUCAAGUGGGGAAGGACAGUGCCUUGUAAACUUUGCUUGGGUUAUUCAUAGUUCUGUCAGUGAAAUAUUCUUUCCUGUUUUAGAUAUCCAGUUUCCAUGGUUCUUAAUUAUUAUCUUUGGAAUAUUUGGAGUAGCAGUGAUGCUAUUUGUAGUUAUAUUUUCAAAGCAGCAAAGGUAGGUGUGAAGCACUCUCUUUAAUAUGUUUUUACAAGUUCUCAUUUCCAUGUGUACUCUCGUGUGUUAUUUGAAAUGUUCUCUUGUACAGCACAAGUGGCUAUCUUAAUUAACUCAGAAAAGUUUAAUUUCUGGUUUUACCUUUACCACAUCUGUACUCAGUCUGUUGUCUGUCGUGUUUACCUUUUUUUAAAAAAUGGAUGAUUUAAAUCAGGAAGUUUAGGCACAUCCUGUCAUACUAAGGCAUCAUUUCACGGACAUUUUUGUCAGUCUUGUUUGGUUCUAUCCUAGCCUCUCUGAGUCUGUGGAUUUUAACAUGAUUAUCCUUUACUUUAUAUUAAUAUCCACUCAUAAGUGAGUUCAUACUACGUUUGUCUUUCUGGGUGUGGGUUACCUCACUCAGGAUGAUGUUUUUCUAGUUCCAUCCAUUUGCCUGAAAUUUUCAUGAUGUCAUUGUUUUUAGCAGCUGAGCAAUACACUCCAUUGUAUGAAUGUACCACAUUUUCUUUAUUAAUUCUUCUGUGGAAGGAGCCUUCAAAGUCU